rnacentral:rRNA from 1 species
AGUGGCGAACGGGUGAGUAACACGUGAGUAACCUGCCCCCUUCUUUGGGAUAACGGUCGGAAACGGCUGCUAAUACCGGGUAUUCACUGUCCUUCGCAUGGGGGGUGGUGGAAAGGUUUUUUCUGGUGGGGGAUGGGCUCGCGGCCUAUCAGCUUGUUGGUGGGGUGAUGGCUUACCAAGGCUUUGACGGGUAACCGGCCUGAGAGGCUGACCGGUCACAUUGGGACUGAGAUACGGCCCAGACUCCUACGGGAGGCAGCAGUGGGGAAUAUUGCACAAUGGGCGAAAGCCUGAUGCAGCGACGCCGCGUGAGGGAUGACGGCCUUCGGGUUGUAAACCUCUUUCGCUCAUGGUCAAGCCGCAACAGUGGUUGUGGUGAGGGUAGUGGGUAAAGAAGCACCGGCUAACUACGUGCCAGCAGCCGCGGUAAUACGUAGGGUGCGAGCGUUGUCCGGAAUUAUUGGGCGUAAAGGGCUUGUAGGCGGUUUGUCGCGUCUGCCGUGAAAUCCUCUGGCUUAACUGGGGGCGUGCGGUGGGUACGGGCAGGCUUGAGUGCGGUAGGGGAGACUGGAACUCC